UGGUGGAGUGAUUUGUCUGGUUAAUUCCGUUAACGAACGAGACCUCGACCUGCUAAAUAGUUUGACGCACGCUUUCCGGCGUGUGUUCUUAACUUCUUAGAGGGACUAUUGUUGAUUAAACAAUGGAAGUUCGAGGCAAUAACA
rnacentral:rRNA from 1 species